GUGUAGGACCUAAUUGGAAAUUGAAGAAUGCAAUGGAAAGCAAGGUGAAAAAGGAAAGGGUGCCCCUAUUAAUCCCAGAUCCAGGGAGCCAUCACUUGUAAGUAGACCUGCCUUCAGAUGUCCCAUUGGGUCUGCAGAGUUUACAGAAAAACUUAAGAUCACUCCAAACCAGAGUCAGAAACAUCCCUGC